rnacentral:rRNA from 1 species
CCUACGGGAGGCAGCAGUGGGGAAUAUUGGUCAAUGGACGAGAGUCUGAACCAGCCAAGUAGCGUGAAGGAUGACUGCCCUAUGGGUUGUAAACUUCUUUUAUAUGGGAAUAAAACGUUCCACGUGUGGGAUUUUGUAUGUACCAUAUGAAUAAGGAUCGGCUAACUCCGUGCCAGCAGCCGCGGUAAUACGGAGGAUCCGAGCGUUAUCCGGAUUUAUUGGGUUUAAAGGGAGCGUAGGUGGAUUGUUAAGUCAGUUGUGAAAGUUUGCGGCUCAACCGUAAAAUUGCAGUUGAAACUGGCAGUCUUGAGUACAGUAGAGGUGGGCGGAAUUCGUGGUGUAGCGGUGAAAUGCUUAGAUAUCACGAAGAACUCCGAUUGCGAAGGCAGUUCACUGGACUGCAACUGACACUGAGGCUCGAAAGUGUGGGUAUCAAACAGGAUUAGAUACCCUAGUAGUC